rnacentral:lncRNA from 1 species
AGGGAUCCAUGCAGGAGGAAAUGAAGUGACUGCAUUUAUCUCAAUGUUCCCAAGGGUCAGGUGUUAUCAAAAGGUCUCAUCAAAUUAUUUUAUGUAGAAGAGCACCCAAAUGUUAUUUCUUGCUGUUCCUCUUCUUUUCCUCAAGAGAAAGAAGGUUGAAAACUGAAAAUGAUGAAGUUGAAGAAUGAAGUCAAUGAGUGUUAAGAAGAGAUUCAUUUAUCCUUGAAAAAUGAAAAAGUAGAGUGCUGGUGGUGAUCAUGUCUUCCCUUCACCCAUGGGGACUUUUCAUUUAUCGCUGCCACUCCAGCAUGUUCACUAUUCUCUGUAGCAUGAAAAUCUGAUAAAGCUCAUGAGGGGAGAGAAAACUUAACUUCAAUAUUUUCCUGCUGAGCCUGAGAGUGCUUUGUAUACCCUAGCAAGAUGAAAAUCUUAGCUGCAGCAUCAGGAAGAGGACACCUCACUUUAUCCUACAUUCCUAUCUCAGUCAGGAAAGUAGCUCUAGAGAAGGAACUAAGAAGUCAAGGCCUUUUGUGAAGUUGCUCUGUUAUCUCUGUGGCCCCAAAGACCAAAAUGAUGGAGAAAAUGAAACCAGGAUGAUUUCUGACAUCUGCUUCCACUCCACCUUCUUUAACCACUUCAUCCACAUCUCUCUUAGCUUCUCACAUAAGUCUCACCUGGAAUCAUCUUAUUUACACCAAUAAAUUUACCUACCACCUGCCUGUUGAUUGCCAAA